GGCAAGCGCUGCCAGGAGCAAGGGUGCGAUAAGAGCGCUCGGGGCGUGACAGGCCGGUGCGUUGCGCAUGGUGGUGGCAAGCGUUGCCAGGAGCAAGGG
rnacentral:ribozyme from 14 species